rnacentral:rRNA from 1 species
AGCGAACGCUGGCGGCAGGCUUAACACAUGCAAGUCGAGCGGGCAUCUUCGGAUGUCAGCGGCAGACGGGUGAGUAACACGUGGGAACGUACCCUUCGGUUCGGAACAACUCUGGGAAACUGGAGCUAAUACCGGAUACGCCCUUAUGGGGAAAGGUUUACUGCCGAAGGAUCGGCCCGCGUCUGAUUAGCUAGUUGGUGGGGUAACGGCCUACCAAGGCGACGAUCAGUAGCUGGUCUGAGAGGAUGAUCAGCCACACUGGGACUGAGACACGGCCCAGACUCCUACGGGAGGCAGCAGUGGGGAAUAUUGGACAAUGGGCGCAAGCCUGAUCCAGCCAUGCCGCGUGAGUGAUGAAGGCCUUAGGGUUGUAAAGCUCUUUUGUCCGGGACAAUAAUGACGGUACCGGAAGAAUAAGCCCCGGCUAACUUCGU